UGGUUAACGGAGCGAAAGCGACGUUCAACCGCAAAACAAGCAGAGGGGGCUUAGUGGUGGGGUGACUGCGUACCUUUUGUAUAAUGGGUCAGCGACUUAUAUUCUGUAGCAAGGUUAACCGUAUAGGGGAGCCGGAGGGAAACCGAGUCUUAAUUGGGCGUUAAGUUGCAGGGUAUAGACCCGAAACCCGGUGAUCUAGCCAUGGGCAGGUUGAAGGUUGGGUAACACUAACUGGAGGACCGAACCGACUAAUGUUGAAAAAUUAGCGGAUGACCUGUGGCUGGGGGUGAAAGGCCAAUCAAACCGGGAGAUAGCUGGUUCUCCCCGAAAGCUAUUUAGGUAGCGCCUCGUGAAUUCAUCUCCGGGGGUAGAGCACUGUUUCGGCUAGGGGGCCAUCCCGGCUUACCAACCCGAUGCAAACUGCGAAUACCGGAGAAUGUUAUCACGGGAGACACACGGCGGGUGCUAACGUCCGUCGUGAAGAGGGAAACAACCCAGACCGCCAGCUAAGGUCCCAAAGUCAUGGUUAAGUGGGAAACGAUGUGGGAAGGCCCAGACAGCCAGGAUGUUGGCUUAGAAGCAGCCAUCAUUUAAAGAAAGCGUAAUAGCUCACUGGUCGAGUCGGCCUGCGCGGAAGAUGUAACGGGGCUAAACCAUGCACCGAAGCUGCGGCAGCGAACGUAUCACUUAAAGCGAUUCAGCGGGUUACGAUUGACGGAGCGAAGCGACGUCAAAGCGUAUACAAAGUCGAGUCGGUUUAAGGAUACGUUCGUUGGGUAGGGGAGCGUUCUGUAAGCCUGCGAAGGUGGCCUGUGAGGGUUGCUGGAGGUAUCAGAAGUGCGAAUGCUGACAUAAGUAACGAUAAAGCGGGUGAAAAGCCCGCUCGCCGGAAGACCAAGGGUUCCUGUCCAACGUUAAUCGGGGCAGGGUGAGUCGACCCCUAAGGCGAGGCCGAAAGGCGUAGUCGAUGGGAAACGGGUUAAUAUUCCCGUACUUGGUGUUACUGCGAAGGGGGGACGGAGAAGGCUAUGUUGGCCGGGCGACGGUUGUCCCGGUUUAAGCGUGUAGGCUGGUUUUCCAGGCAAAUCCGGAAAAUCAAGGCUGAGGCGUGACGACGAGGCACUACGGUGCUGAAGCAACAAAUGCCCUGCUUCCAGGAAAAGCCUCUAAGCAUCAGGUAACACGAAAUCGUACCCCAAACCGACACAGGUGGUCAGGUAGAGAAUACCAAGGCGCUUGAGAGAACUCGGGUGAAGGAACUAGGCAAAAUGGUGCCGUAACUUCGGGAGAAGGCACGCUGACACGUAGGUGAAGUGAUUUACUCAUGGAGCUGAAGUCAGUCGAAGAUA
rnacentral:rRNA from 1 species